AUUGAACGCUGGCGGCAGGCCUAACACAUGCAAGUCGAGCGGAUGAAGGGAGCUUGCUCCUGGAUUCAGCGGCGGACGGGUGAGUAAUGCCUAGGAAUCUGCCUGGUAGUGGGGAAUAACGUCCGGUAACGGGCGCUAAUACCGCAUACGUCCUGAGGGAGAAAGUGGGGGAUCUUCGGACCUCACGCUAUCAGAUGAGCCUAGGUCGGAUUAGCUAGUUGGUGGGGUAAAGGCCUACCAAGGCGACGAUCCGUAACUGGUCUGAGAGGAUGAUCAGUCACACUGGAACUGAGACACGGUCCAGACUCCUACGGGAGGCAGCAGUGGGGAAUAUUGGGCAAUGGGCGAAAGCCUGAUCCAGCCAUGCCGCGUGUGUGAAGAAGGUCUUCGGAUUGUAAAGCACUUUAAGUUGGGAGGAAGGGCAGUAAGUUAAUACCUUGCUGUUUUGACGUUACCAACAGAAUAAGCACCGGCUAACUUCGUG
rnacentral:rRNA from 1 species